CUACGGGCGGCACCAGUGAGGAAUAUUGCACAAUGGAGGAAACUCUGAUGCAGCAACGCCGCGUGGAGGAUGACGCAUUUCGGUGUGUAAACUCCUUUUAUGAGUCAAGAAAAUGACGGUAGCUCAUGAAUAAGCACCGGCUAACUCCGUGCCAGCAGCCGCGGUAAUACGGAGGGUGCAAGCGUUACUCGGAAUCACUGGGCGUAAAGGACGCGUAGGCGGGAUAUCAAGUCAGGUGUGAAAUCCUACAGCUUAACUGUAGAACUGCACUUGAAACUGGUAACCUAGAGUAUGGGAGGGGGAGAUGGAAUUAGUGGCGUAGGGGUAAAAUCCGUAGAUAUCACUAGGAAUACCUAAAGCGAAGGCGAUCUCCUGGAACAUAACUGACGCUAAGGCGUGAAAGCGUGGGGAGCAAACAGGAUUAGAUACCCUUGUAGUC
rnacentral:rRNA from 1 species